CACGUUUUUACUCAUCAUCCCUUCCUCACGAAGCAAACCCCAUAUCCCUCCUCUUCCGUCUCUCUGGCACACGUAGCAUCCGCAUCUCUCUCGUCGCCUCCGCCCCUUCUCCUCCCCGUUCCUCUCUCCUAGCCGAGCUCCGGCCUUGCUCGUCAUCCCUUCCUCUUGAGAAAGAGUACGGGCCCAUCGUUGCGCCUCAGUCGCCACAAGGACAUCGGGUGGAGGGGAUCCGGUGCGAACGACGCACAUCUCGGCCCCGUAGCAGGAGCGGGAGGUGUCGGCGGCGGAGAUGGUCGAUGUGGAGCCUCUUUUUCCCGCGAUCUGGUCCUCCCCAUUCAUGGCCAUUGGCAGGAGGGUCCCCUCGGAUUUAUUCCAUCCUCGGAGGUGGCAACCGCCCUAGGAGGGGCGGUGCACGGGCACGGCUAUCUUGGUGGUCGUGAUGUUGUUCCGCAACUGGUUCGCCUUCGGGUCGGCGCCACAGAUGAGGCCUGCUGUUGCGACCUUGCCCUCGUUCCCGCGGCGACGGACUACCCCCCAAGAUGAAUGGCUCUUCAAGUCGAAGCCACGGACCAUGCCAUGCGCCAGCUCGUCAUCUAUGUCGACCUCCACUCUGGCUCACGUGGCUCCGACGCCAAGCGGGAGGAGAAGGGUAAUGCCCAGCUCAUUUGAUGGGUCACUUGACUUCUUUACGGUUAUGCCACCUAAUCCGUUGGAUAUAUCCAAGGAUGAGGAGCACUGCUUAUUGUCCCUUUUAGUUGAGUAUUUAGAGCAAUGUGAGGGACAUUGGGACCCAGGGAGAGUUCCAGAAUCAAUGUACAAGCAUUUGCAACUACUGCUUCAUAUCAUGUUGCAUUUACAAAUUAAUAUCAUCUGUGAGCAAGCGUACAUUUUGGUGAAAGCUGUUGUGGCAAGUUCUGGUGCGUUUGACGAGAAUUUUGCGGAGAUUGAUGCAUGGUUUGGUUUUCUUGCCUGGUUAUGAAGCCAAAAUUGUGUGUAGAGCCUAGAAGUUCAAUCCUCUAAUAAAUUGUCACACAUUGUGAUCCCUUUCAUCUGCGAUGUUGUCUCAGUGGUUGGGAACAAUCUGUACAAAUACCAAGAGCACAUGCGGAAGUUCAUCUUUAAAUCAGGCCAACUUGAAGGGAGGCAUGUUGUGGAAGCAUCAGGUUGAAGGCUUGUGCUAAGUGGGAGAUAUGGUGAAAGCGGGAAAGGGGAAAGGCUCCAGAUUGUUGGAUUUGGACUCUGCAUGGAAAAUGUUUGUCGGCCUGACAGGCUAGGAUUGGGCACUUCUCCGGGUUGCUCUUUGCUUAUACAGGCAAAAAGUUAUAUCGCAUUUCCACCGACUACAGUUCAUCUCUACAUUCUAGCAAGUUUCUCUAUGAAGAUUUGGGUUGUUAGUGAUGUUCAAGUCCAAUGGUAUCCUGUAUAAAUGCACUGCUAUGUUGGUUUCCUCAAUCCAGAUAGUUGCAUGGGUGUAGUCACUUGUGUAUAAGCAACAAAAUAUAUUGCACUCCCACUGAUCAUAGUGCAUCUCUACAUUCUCAGCAGGCAUGACAUACCACACUUCUUGAAAAACUACUUACAUAAACAUAUUAAGGCACGCAUACAUUUCAGUUUUGACACAUUUGGUUUGCAGCAUGCUGAUGUUGUUGAUCACGGAUGGAGCCAUUGCGCUGCUCUCUUUGGCAAUCUCAUGGCUUCUCACACUACAGGAAACAACUAAUUUGCCUUCAGGGGUCGUCUUUGCCGCCAGCUUUCCGUUGGGUAGAUGUCAAAGAAAAGGUUUGCCGUCCUCUGCAGACGACAAAGAAAAACUGACUGCAAAAUAGCCUUUGCCAUCUACCGAAAAAAAACACAGACGACAAAGAGCUACCAUAUAUGAAUAAGCACUUAAGCAGUUCUGGGUCGUACGUUUCCUUGACCGCAUGCUUUUCCUUCACCGAGUACGUUUCCUUAGCAUGUCCACCUAUGCAUUAUUGGAUUUUAUAUUUAAACAAAACAAAAUCUCUUUGCCGUUUGUGGGUUCGAGGAUGAUGGCAAAGAUGGAGUAAACUGACGGUAAAGACGAAAUCGCCUGACAGCAAAAGAUGCAAACUUUGCUGUCUGUUAUUUUUUGGCAGACGGUAAACUGUAGUUUGGCUGACGACAAAAUCUUUGUCGUUUGUCCGAUAAAAAGUUGACGGCAAAGUAUUCUUUGCCGAUUUAGCCUUUGCCGACACACUUUGCCGUCAACCAGCUGACAGCAAAUUCUUUGCCGUCUGUAAUACUGCCUUUGUCGUCUGUACAAGCCUGACGGCAAACUAGCUAUUUCCUGUAGUGUCAGGGUUGAGUGAGGCAAAGAGCCCUCGAUGUGCAGCUCUUGCCUCUCUUCUAUUGCACCAUCCAUCACAGAGCAGGUCAAACGCUCAGCCAGCAUAACCAUGUUAAGGAAGGGCACCAUAUAUCUUUCCAAUAUUCAGUUAAAAAAACUUUUCUUGCAUAAAUGUUGUUGGGAUGUUUCUGAGGUAAGAUACGUACCUUGGAUAUGAUACUCACUUUGCUGGGUCUCAUGUACGAAUAUUAUUUCCACAGUAACACAUUUUCUUGUCCUCUGUGCACAUUGAUACAUUGUCGGUCCCUGAUUUUGGUGAAUACUGAUUAUGUCUUCGCUUUUGUACUACUGUUCAAGUUAUAAAUCAUCUCUGGGCCUAAUCUAUUAUUUUAUAUUAUCAGAUCAAAACAAUUGUCUUCCGAUUUAUCCAUUUGGGAAUCAAUUCUUGGAAAUUUCCUGUUGGAAUUCUUUUGGUUUCCCUUUAUUGUCUUCAGACCUCUCCUUCUCCAUCACCUCCGUUGUUUGCUUCAAAAACAGUAAUCACAUGCCAGCCUCUUAUGGUGUGUCUUCUUCAACAUUAACAAUAAAAUCUAAUAUUCAACUUUUCUAUCUGAUUAAAUAUUGCCUGUAAUUUUGCAUUUUAGAUAAGAAUUGCCUCAUUCUUAAUUGAUGGAGUUGCGCCUCACAGUGCCACAUUUGCUGACUCCUCAGUUAACAGUUUGUCGUGUACUCUCAAAGAGUUUGAUCUAUUAGUUCCAUUUGAUGCUGAAGAAAUGUGAAGUGCAGUGCAACUAGGACCGCUUGCUCCGAGUAAUCAUUUUCAGCAGCAAGACUUCAUGUAGAGGACCUACACUUUUGUGAAUCACCAUAGGCAAAGUGUACACGGCUAAACCUUGACAAAGAUACCCCUUGCUUCCUUUUUAGAUAUACAUAGCGUUAAGAUUGUUCUUUUUUUUUGCUGAAUUCGAUUACUUUUGAACAAGCCACCGUAUGUAAUGUAGCUUCUAUAUAACCUUCUGCCACUUUCCUAAGUUUGAUCUGCUUCUAAAUCCAUGGUUUGUCCUGGCUUACUGUUGCCUAAUAUGCACGUGAUGGUAUAAACAGGACAGUGAAAGGGGCGCCUCACAAUUUAGUGAUUACUGGUUGCGUGUCGAAGCCAGUGAGUUCUCUUAUCUUUAUAUCUAAAACAUAAAGGAGCACCAAAUUUUUGAAGGCUAAUUGGCUAAUUAAUCAGAAGGAGAGAAGAAAGUGAAAUAAUAUUUUGUUUGUAAAAUAUUGCAGCAUGCAUCUUUAUGCUUUUGUUUUUGAUCAACAUGUGUUCCAUGGCUUUAUGGCAGUUUUGAAAGUGAUAUGCUUGUCUUUUAGGGUGUUACUAUGGGGCGGAGGAAAGGAGAGGAGAGAGGAAAUAUUUGAAAGUGAUAUGCUUGCCUUUUAGGGUGUUACUAUGGGGCGGAGGAAAGGAGAGGAGAGAUCAAGGUGCCGUUUGCAAGCGAUGAAAAACUUACAUGUAUGAAUAGUUUCACGUCUCAAUAUUUCCAUACAAGCCCUCAAAGCGCCCUUUCCAUAUUUACAUACAAAAGGAUCAUUGCCAAGCAAAGAUGACUUGACUCCAUUUCUGGCACACUCAUCUUAGUUAAUUGUGAAUUAUGAAACUGUUUUUCACAUGAGAUAUAUUGACUACAAAAAACGUUGAACAACUCUAUGACUUAUUUUUAAACAGGGGAAAUAUGUCAUGAGAUGAAUUCUUGGCGCAGGUCGAGUAGUUCAGAAAGGAUCUAUGGGAGAUUCAUGGAAGUCAUGCUGGAAAGAGGCGAAUUCUAUGCCAACCCUGCUGCGUGUAUAUAUGUGAAGAGACUAAAGAUGGCCCCUCUACUGCACGAGAGAAGAAUUCCAAAGAUGAUCCCACCGGGACAGAAGAGGUGAUUGAUAUUGGGGCUGGCGGUGAUUCUUUGGUCAGAUUGGAGGUUUUGAGCUGGAAGUCAUCCUGAUUAGUUGUUAUAUAUUGCAGCUCAGAGGAAUUAGUUAAGUUAUCUGCAUACUAGUGGUGUAUGUGGUAUACUAAAGAUUCAGAGAAUUUCUGAUUUUAUUUGGAUGGAAUGUGGUUUAUGCAUGAACUGUGCUUCUUAAUAUACUGGAUCUUAUUUUGGCU